rnacentral:rRNA from 1 species
AGCGAACGCUGGCGGCAGGCCUAACACAUGCAAGUCGAACGAAGUCUUCGGACUUAGUGGCGGACGGGUGAGUAACACGUGGGAACGUACCUUUUGGUUCGGAACAACUCAGGGAAACUUGAGCUAAUACCGGAUGAGCCCUUCGGGGGAAAGAUUUAUCGCCAUUAGAGCGGCCCGCGUUAGAUUAGCUAGUUGGUGAGGUAAAGGCUCACCAAGGCUACGAUCUAUAGCUGGUCUGAGAGGAUGAUCAGCCACACUGGGACUGAGACACGGCCCAGACUCCUACGGGAGGCAGCAGUGGGGAAUCUUGCGCAAUGGGCGAAAGCCUGACGCAGCCAUGCCGCGUGAAUGAUGAAGGUCUUAGGAUUGUAAAAUUCUUUUACCAGGGACGAUAAUGACGGUACCUGGAGAAAAAGCCCCGGCUAACUUCGUGCCAGCCGCCACCGUAACAC